rnacentral:rRNA from 1 species
AGCGAACGCUGGCGGCAGGCCUAACACAUGCAAGUCGAGCGGAUGAGUGGAGCUUGCUCCAUGAUUCAGCGGCGGACGGGUGAGUAAUGCCUAGGAAUCUGCCUGGUAGUGGGGGACAACGUUUCGAAAGGAACGCUAAUACCGCAUACGUCCUACGGGAGAAAGCAGGGGACCUUCGGGCCUUGCGCUAUCAGAUGAGCCUAGGUCGGAUUAGCUAGUUGGCGGGGUAAAGGCCUACCAAGGCGACGAUCCGUAACUGGUCUGAGAGGAUGAUCAGUCACACUGGAACUGAGACACGGUCCAGACUCCUACGGGAGGCAGCAGUGGGGAAUAUUGGACAAUGGGCGAAAGCCUGAUCCAGCCAUGCCGCGUGUGUGAAGAAGGUCUUCGGAUUGUAAAGCACUUUAAGUUGGGAGGAAGGGCAGUAAGUUAAUACCUUGCUGUUUUGACGUUACCAACAGAAUAAGCACCGGCUAACUUCGUGCCAGCCGCCGCCGUAAAAC